CCUACGGCUGGCUGCAGUGGGGAAUAUUGGGCAAUGGAGGAAACUCUGACCCAGCAAUGCCGCGUGAAUGAAGAAGGUCUUCGGAUUGUAAAGUUCUUUUGUCAGGGAACAAAGGCGGGGACUAGUCCCCGGAUUAGGGUACCUGAAGAAAAAGCAUCGGCUAACUCCGUGCCAGCAGCCGCGGUAAUACUGAGGAUGCGAGCGUUAUCAGGCUUUAUUGGGUUUAAAGGGUGCGCAGGCGGCCUGUUAAGUCUGCGGUAAAAGACCGGGGCUCAACCCCGGCGAGUCGUUGCAACGGGCGGGCUGGAGUUGGAGAGAAGUACGCGGAAUGCGCGGUGGAGCGGGGAAAUGAUUAGAUAUCGGGCAGAAGACCGAGUGCGAAGGCAGCGUACCGGCUCCACACUGACGCGGAGGCAUGAAAGCGUGGGUAUCGAAAAGGAUUAGAGACCCGUGUAGUC
rnacentral:rRNA from 1 species